rnacentral:rRNA from 1 species
UACGUAGGGAGCAAGCGUUGUCCGGAAUCAUUGGGCGUAAAGCGCGCGUAGGUGGCCUCAUAAGUCCGUCUGUGAAAGUCAAAGGCUCAACCUUUGAAAGCCGGUGGAUACUGUGAGGCUAGAGUACGGAAGAGGAGAGUGGAAUUCCUGGUGUAAGCGGUGAAAUGCGCAGAUAUCAGGAAGAACACCAAUGGCGAAAGCAGCUCUCUGGGACGGUACUGACGCUGAGACGCGAAAGCGUGGGAGCGAACAG